CGCUAGAUGGUAUCGUGUCAUAAGACAUCUAGCGGACACAUUUUGAACUUCUAUCAUUGUCUUCCGUUUUUUCUACAUGAUCAUGAAGAAUGGAUGGUGUUUGUGUGGACUAAGAUCCCUAUUUUUUGUGUUUUCGAAGAAUUAUUUAGCUAAAAUCUAAUGAGUUGGAGGAAGAUCAAUGUCACAUAUUCUGUAGAAUGGAAUACCACCAAUGGCUUCGAGUACUAUUUGUAACCACAGCUGACUGUUACAGUUUUGUGAUACAUCCAUUUGACAACUGCAGAGUUUCCCUCUUCUAUAUGGUGCCAACCAUCAACCAUCAUCAUUUCAGCAUCCUUUGGCUCAUCUUCAGUUAGCCAGCCAUCGGUUAAUUACAUCACCCCAUUUUGGAUAGGAAAAUGUUCAUCUAUGUAUUGCUGUAAAAUGGCUGUUCCUACACUUUGUCCAGUCUUUACCAUCCAUAGACUUAAUAUUAUUUUAAAAUCUUCAUUCCUGCACUUUUCCGUCUUAGUCUGUGCCCCGUCUACGGAUCAUCGUCGCUUCGCCAGGUCUUCGCAUCGUUUCCAUUUCGUCGCCAGUUUCUCCGUCGUCUCCUCGCCCAUCGCCUUCGUCUCAUUGCCGCCCUUGCUCUUGCAUUCGCCAUCGUCUCAUCGCCGUUUUUGCCUUCGUCGUAUCUCCGUCAGAUUGAACAAUCAGAUCCAGUAAAAAAAAACCCAUGGCGAUCGAGCGUGACCUCACCGUGGAACUUCUCGGGGACCGAGCGCACUGCUCUACCCCAUGGCCAAGGGGUAGGGCAGUGCUCCGCCGCAAGGCGGUUAGGCAAUGCACCAGUAGGGAAUUCUCUUUGUUCGAUGCGGUGAUGGUUUUCUGAGGGUGUGCAUUCCCUGUAAAGGUUUCCAUCGCCGUGUCAGCCCGGACUUGUCUUCGGACAAGGUCCCCCUUGGUCGGCGAUCCUUCAGACGCGAGACGUAGCUACUGUAGUUUCAGCAACCUACGGAUUGCAUGGCCUGGCAGCCAACGGGUUAACUAGUUUGUUGUAUGUGUAUGCAUUUAUAUUUGUUUAUAUAUAUGUAUUGUUUUGUAUGUAAAAUAGUGGUGGAAUUGUGGGUGGAGGAGGGACA